rnacentral:rRNA from 1 species
UGGCCCAUACAGGGGGAUAACACUUAGAAAUAGGUGCUAAUACCGCAUAACAACAGAAAGCGCAUGCUUUUUGUUUGAAAACCAAGGUGGUAUGGGAUGGACCCGCGUCUGAUUAGCUGGUUGGCGGGGUAAAGGCCCACCAAGGCGACGAUCAGUAGCCGGCCUGAGAGGGUGGACGGCCACAUUGGGACUGAGACACGGCCCAAACUCCUACGGGAGGCAGCAGUGGGGAAUAUUGCACAAUGGGGGAAACCCUGAUGCAGCGACGCCGCGUGAGUGAAGAAGUAAUUCGUUAUGUAAAGCUCUAUCAGCAGGGAAGAAAAUGACGGUACCUGAGUAAGAAGCCCCGGCUAACUACGUGCCAGCAGCCGCGGUAAUACGUAGGGGGCAAGCGUUAUCCGGAUUUACUGGGUGUAAAGGGAGCGUAGACGGCAGUGCAAGUCUGGAGUGAAAGGCGGGGGCUCAACCCCCGGACUGCUCUGGAAACUGUACGGCUGGAGUGCAGGAGAGGUAAGUGGAAUUCCUAGUGUAGCGGUGAAAUGCGUAGAUAUUAGGAGGAACACCAGUGGCGAAGGCGGCUUACUGGACUGUAACUGACGUUGAGGCUCGAAAGCGUGGGGAGCAAACAGGAUUAGAUACCCUGGUAGUCCACGCCGUAAACGAUGAUCACUAGGUGU